rnacentral:lncRNA from 1 species
AGUUUAGGGUUUAGGGUUUAUGGUUUAGGGUUUAGGGUUUAGAGUUUACGGUUUAGGGUUUAGAGUUGAGAAAUGAGGUUUUGGGGAUAAGAUUUCAAAUUUUGAAAAAUAAAAAAAUUAAAAUUUUCAAAGGAUAAACCUAGAAAAGUGCUAUUUUGGUCAUUUUAGUUUUUGAGUGCUAUUUUUGUGAUAUAAACUUAGAAAUGUGCUAUUUUGGAGAUUUGUCCUUUUGUUAAUGUCUUUCUAUGUU